rnacentral:lncRNA from 1 species
UAAGGUUUUCUCUAAUCUUAGAUUCUUGUCAAUCACCGUUUUAAUCAUAAAGUUUCAUCUACCUUUACAAGGCUAACCACCCGACUCGGUCUUGAGUCAAUCGUCUGCGGAGUACCGCACUAGAACCAGGCUCGAGGCGAUGGACGUCUCACAUACACCUCAGCCCUAAAUCCUCUCGACUGGGAUACCGAAUCCAUAACUCAUAAUGUAUACUUGUUGUACAUUCAUUUGGCUAUGACCCAAUCUUACAGGUUAACCAUGUUAACCCUAAUAACUCACCACCAAAAUUUCUUAAUAACGGGGGACUCGAACCUCCCUGGGGACCGUCAUCUGGGGGGACUUUACCACGCCCAGUGGUGACCAACUCCGGAGGGCACCGCCCGAGGGGGAGCUACCUCC